rnacentral:rRNA from 1 species
AGGACGAACGCUGGCGGCGUGCCUAACACAUGCAAGUGGAGCGACGAACCAGGCUUCGGCCUGGGGCAAAGCCGCGAACGGGUGAGUAACACGUGGGUAACCUGCCCCGAUGAUUGGGACAACCCGAGGAAACUCGGGCUAAUACCGAAUGUGCCCUACGGCCAUAAGGCCGCUGGGGAAAGGAAGCUUCGGCCUCCGCAUCGGGAUGGGCCCGCGGCCCAUUAGCUUGUUGGUGAGGUAACGGCUCACCAAGGCGACGAUGGGUAGCUGGUCUGAGAGGACGAUCAGCCACACUGGGACUGAGACACGGCCCAGACUCCUACGGGAGGCAGCAGUGGGGAAUCUUGCGCAAUGCGCGAAAGCGUGACGCAGCAACGCCGCGUGGGGGAAGAAGGCCUUCGGGUUGUAAACCCCUUUCAGUUGGGACGAAGCUUCGCCGGUGAAUAGCCGGUUGGAGUGACGGUACCUUCAGAAGAAGCCCCGGCUAACUACGCGCCAGCAGCCGC